GCCCGGAUGGUCUAGUGGUAUGAUUCGCGCUUCGGGGUAAAUACAAGUUCAAUUUCGUCUAUCAGCGAGACUCUUGUAUAUAAGCCAGAGCAUGCGCGAGGUCCCGCGUUCGAAUCGCGGUUCGGGCC